AUUUUGGGAAGGAGAAGAUGGAUAUCAUUUAAAUAUUAAACAACGGAAUCCAACUACAGGUGAAGAACUGAUCAAGAAAGUUAGUGCGAUGAACUUCUACGCAUACCGGUUGAUGAUUCGUGCUAAUGAAGAAAAUCACAUUCUCCGAUGCAGACAGCUAUUUCAUCAGUAUGUAGUCGAUAUGUAUGUUAAAAUCGAAAGUGAGAGGUUACGGUAUAUAAAAUUUAAUCAAGUACAACUUCGUUCUGAGGAAUACAUUCAUUUACGUGAUGCUGUAAUCGGUAACGUAGAUGCAACGAAUGAUAUAAACAACAUCGGUACCGCAUAUAUUCUUCCAUCAUCAUACAUUGGUAGUCCGCGUCAUAUGCAAGAAUAUAUUCAAGACGCCAUGACUUUACGUACGUGCAUACAGCCGACCAGAUCUUUUUAUCACAUUUACGUGUAAUCCAAACUGGGAUGAAAUUAACAUUUUACUGUUGUCAGGUCAAACAACAAUGCAUCGCCAUGAUAUUACUGCACGUGUGUUCAAACAAAAAUUAAAAUCUUUGAUGAAUUUGAUUACACAUCACUCGGUAUUUGGUGAAACACUAUGUUGGCUUUACUCUGUUGAAUGGCAAAAACGAGGUUUACCUCAUGCGCAUAUUUUGAUUUGGUUAGUGGAUAAAGUAUGCCCACAAGAAAUUGACAAAAUUAUUUCAGCGGAGAUUCCGGAUCCGAAUUUUGAUAAAGAAUUAUUUAACAUUGUUACUACUAAUAUGAUCCAUGGUCCAUGUGGUACUCUAAAUAUGGUGUCACCAUGUAUGGAUAAUGGGAAAUGUACAAAACGUUUUCCAAAACCAUGUCAAACUGAUACUAUCACCAAUAUCGACGGUUAUCCAUCUUACCGUCGUAGAGACGUAGACAAUGGUGGUCAAUCAUAUGAAUUACGCCUGUCAAACGGUGUAAGAGUAGAUAUUGAUAAUCGCUGGGUGGUUCCAUAUUCACCAUUGCUGUGCAAAACCUAUAAAGCACACAUAAACGUUGAAUUAUGCAGUUCGGUGAAGUCUAUCAAAUACAUUUGUAAGUACGUUCAUAAGGGCAGUGAUAAAGCUAUAUUUUCUGUUCAAAAUGUAAACGACAAUGAUGAAAUAACACGUUAUCAAUUGGGGAGAUACAUAAGUAGUAAUGAAGCUAUUUGGCGCAUUUUUUCGUUCCCUAUACAUGAAAGGAAUCCUGCUGUUAUACAUUUGGCUGUGCACCUUGAAAAUGGACAGCGUGUUUAUUUUACAGAACAGACUGCAAUACAACAAGCUUUAA
rnacentral:lncRNA from 1 species